rnacentral:rRNA from 1 species
UACGAAGGGGGCUAGCGUUGUUCGGAAUUACUGGGCGUAAAGCGCGUGUAGGCGGGUCUUUUAAGUCAGGGGUGAAAUGCCAAGGCUCAACCUUGGAACUGCCUUUGAUACUGGAGACCUUGAGUCCGGGAGAGGUGAGUGGAAUUGCGAGUGUAGAGGUGAAAUUCGUAGAUAUUCGCAAGAACACCAGUGGCGAAGGCGGCUCACUGGCCCGGAACUGGCGCUGAGGAGCGAAAGCCAGGGGGAAGGCAAACGG